rnacentral:misc_RNA from 1 species
AAAUUCUCAAAGUAAAUAUUUUGUUAAUUCAAUUUGUUUACUUUGGAUUUUGGAGGCUUUGCAGAUUUUACAAUCUGCUCCUCUUAAAUGUAUUAGCUGGAUCUCAGUAUAUACUUGGUUCCACUUGGCGUGAUAAGUAUCACUCGCUGAGGAUCCACCCAUAAAAAGGUGGCCAACGAAUACGGAUGAACUGCUUCUAAUAGUCUAUUAAAUUAGACAAUUAAUUAAUUUCAAG